rnacentral:lncRNA from 1 species
UGUAUGCUGCGAAUUAAUACGUGAAUGAACAAAUGACUACAGGCAUUAUCCGAAUGAUAUGAUCUUCCUUCCCCAUCUUUCUGGGUGUCGGCCUUCAUUCACCAUGAAGUUGUAAACACAACAUUGAUUUUGGAGUCAGACAACCUAAGUUCAAAUCUAGCCUUUGCUAAUUACUGGCUGAAAUCAUUGAGAAAUCUACUUAACCUGCCUGAGACCUCAGUUUCCUUAUUUGUAAAUGGAAUAGUAGUGCCUCAAGUGAGAUAAGGUGUCCCGUUCAGAGCAUCCAGGCUAAUGGACAGUUAAGGAAACGACCCAACAGCUAUUAGGGCUCCCUUGCUAUUGCCAAGCUUGUUUUCAUGCUGCAGGUGGUACUGAAUUAUAUAACACAUGUGCAGCUAAACAAGCAAAGACCCUGCAUGUUCACCACAUUCUCUCUCCUCUGAACUCUGAGGUUAAUACCAGUUGUCAAACUGGCUUACGGGAAGGCACUAUACCUGCUCACAGCUUGAAUCUUGGAGAAGUCUCCAUUCUGGGAACCUCCUCCUUCUCAUCCAUGGAAAGGGAAGAAGGAUGCCUGGAGUGGGAUAAAGAAAAUAUAGAAAAGGAAGGGAGUGUCUUCACAUCCCAGCAGGGCACAUGGAGGAGGAGGAGGAGGUGCUGACUAUGGACAGCAAGAAGCAACAUCACCAUCACAAAACACCCACCCAGGGCAGGGGCCCUUUCAACAAGGAGCAUAAGAGACUGUUUCUGCCUCUGAUGGAAGCCCAGCAUUUUGUUUUUCUCCACAUAUUUUAAUCAAUAUUUACCAAGCCAUAACAAUCUGGCUUUCACUGUCACCCUAGGGUUGAGUUUCAUGAGUAACUACCUUUUCCACUGGCUGCAGAAAUAAUGACUCCAUGUAUGAUUGGCAGAAGGUCAUUCAUUUGAGCAUAGGAAAACAAGCAGUUUCAAGAAAAGAGCUGGCAUCUCUGCAUGAGUGAAUCAGUGCACAUCUAAAAUGCAGUUACUGAAAUUAUAGAAGCCUCUCCUCGGCCAAUUGGCCUCCUUUGGAAGAUAUGGCCUCACACCAUUCCAUGUGCAUGUGAAAUGUCUAGACGUGAUUAUAGAGUUUUCUUGAGAGCUGAUGCAUCCAAGGAACAUUUAAAGUAAGAAGCAAAGUAAUGAAAAACGUUUCUCAGAAAAUAAAAAUUGUUAAUAUGGUCUUACCACAUUUUCUAAUGAAAGCAUGUUGUGAAUGCUCAGGAAGAAGAAGGUACAGUAAUGGGACUAGAAAUCUGCAGCUUGGAUGGGAGCCCAGUCACCAAUUACCAAGUGCUACAAGCCUGAGGCUACUUCUCAUUGAAAGGGCCUCCCAGGCAUUGAGGGUGUCCACAGUUCAGUGAGACCUCAGAAGCCUGCACGUAGUUCAUGCUCAGUUCUUAGGAUAAUCCUGUCUCUCCACAAUUCCUUCAGGCUUGCAACACUCUCUUACCCCAAAUCAGCUCUUCCCCUACAUUUCCCCUUUCUAUCAAUGGCACUAGAAUUCUCCCAAAUUGAUCAAUGUCAACAUCUCAUUGUUUACUCACCCUUCAUGUACUCACCUCCCAUUAUAAUGUCUAGAUUACAGAUAGCCUUUAUUUUACCUCACGGCAUGUCCAGAAAGAAUCUGUCUUAACUACCUACUUACACCAAGGCAUCAGCAAUUCAUUUAUUUAUUCAUUCAUCUGUUAUUGUAUGAAGUAUUGGCUAAGAGAUCUAUAGUGAAGUGGGGAGAGAUAGUCAUUUAAAGUAACUGUCAUAUAAGAAUGAGUAAGCAUUCACACCGUUGCUUCCACCAGAACUCACACUUUCUUCCUUAUAUUUUUCCAUCUUUAAACACAAGUUAGGAGACACUACCUCCUGGAAGCCUCCCCUGAAUCCACCCUCAGCUGACUAAAAUGUCUCUCCAAUGGGCUUUUACAAGUGCAUAUCUAGUUCAUUGCACUGAAAUUUCACUGAUUAGCUAUUCAUGUGCCUGCCUGCUCCCCCCAAUUAGACUGUCCUAUUCAAAAACAGGGACUGUGUCAUAUUCAUCUCUGUAUUCCUGAUACUUAACAUAGAGCCCAGCUCAUUGUGUGCAUUGCAUAUUUUUAAAUGAACACAUGAAUGAAUGA